AUUGAACGCUGGCGGCAGGCCUAACACAUGCAAGUCGAGCGAGCGGCGGACGGGUGAGUAAUGUCUGGGAAAAUGCCUGAUGGGGGGGGAUAACUACUGGAAACGGUGGCUAAUACCGCAUACCAUCAGAUGUGCCCACAUGGGGUUAGCUAGUGGGUGGGGGAACGGCUCCCCUAGGCGACGAUCCCUAGAGGGUCUGAGAGGAUGACAAGCCACACUGGAACUGAGACACGGUCCAGACUCCUACGGGAGGCAGCAGUGGGGAAUAUUGCACAAUGGGCGCAAGCCUGAUGCAGCCAUGCCGCGUGUAUGAAGAAGGCCUUCGGGUUGUAAAGCACUUUCAGCGGGGAGGCGUUACCCGCAGAAGAAGCACCGGCUAACUCCGUGCCAGCAGCCGCGGUAAUUC
rnacentral:rRNA from 1 species